rfam:Triticum aestivum genome assembly, contig: Triticum_aestivum_CS42_TGACv1_scaffold_061434_1DL
AAUCCACUCCCUUCAUCCGGAAAUACUUGUCCUAGAAAUAGAUAAAAUGGAUGUAUCUAUAACUAAAAUAAGUCUAGAGACAACUAUUUUUAAGACAAGUAUUUUCGGACGGAGCGAGUAUAAG